rnacentral:rRNA from 1 species
GAUGAACGCUGGCGGCGUGCCUAAUACAUGCAAGUCGAGCGAACGGACGAGAAGCUUGCUUCUCUGAUGUUAGCGGCGGACGGGUGAGUAACACGUGGAUAACCUACCUAUAAGACUGGGAUAACUUCGGGAAACCGGAGCUAAUACCGGAUAAUAUUUUGAACCGCAUGGUUCAAAAGUGAAAGACGGUCUUGCUGUCACUUAUAGAUGGAUCCGCGCUGCAUUAGCUAGUUGGUAAGGUAACGGCUUACCAAGGCAACGAUGCAUAGCCGACCUGAGAGGGUGAUCGGCCACAAUGGAACUGAGACACGGGCCAGACUCCUACGGGAGGCAGCAGUAGGGAAUCUUCCGCAAUGGGCGAAAGCCUGACGGAGCAACGCCGCGUGAGUGAUGAAGGUCUUCGGAUCGUAAAACUCUGUUAUUAGGGAAGAACAUAUGUGUAAGUAACUGUGCACAUCUUGACGGUACCUAAUCAGAAAGUCACGGCUAACUACG